ACGCUCAGGAUGCGAAACGGGUUCUCGGCCUGGGCGUGCAGCCGGAUACCCUGACCGCGUGCGGCCCGUACACGGACGGGCUGCAUAGCCGACAGCCGUCGCACCCAGGGAGUAGCCACAUG
rnacentral:sRNA from 1 species